rnacentral:lncRNA from 1 species
CCCAACCCAGGAAUUGAACCCAGGUCUCCCGCGUUCUUUACUGUCUGAGCCACCAGCCAUCACAACAUUGUUAAUUGGCUAUCCUCCAAUAUAAAAUACAAGGUUUAAUAAAAAACCAGUGGGGGCGGGGGGAAAGAAACAAGGACACAAACCACAGAAGCUACUCAGGUCAAAAAAGACACGUGCACUGUGGCGACCUGUCCAGCCAUCAGUUUGUAACGUCUGAUGACAUGACAUUUGAAGUCUCUUCUAGCUCUGGCAUUUGGCAGGUAAGUGGAGGUGGCUUGUUUCUGCUGUGAAGUGACAUGUACAAUAAGAAUAAACCUGGGUGCCUUCAGUCUGAGGCAACACUGGUGAAGCCUGGACCUGAUCACAGGAGACACACGUUCUCCAGCUGAUGGCUUUUUGUCUGACCUUGGCUGAGAGCCUGGAGUCUCCCUCCUCCCUUCACGGACAACAUGGCUGCCCUCCCUCCUGCUCCCCGUCCAGCUGGAGGCUACCACGUCAGCUGAUGACCUUGUCAUCCCCCCCCACCACCGGUGCCUCCAGGCGCCAAAGCAGCACUCACCCAAAGCAAAUCCCAAGCUGGGCCUGGACUCGGAGUGCAGGGGAAGUGAACUGUGAGGCCCCAGGACUUCACCAUGCACAGCAGAAUUCUCUACUUUCAGCCUCUGUGGUCUUGGAGGAGCCACUGGGCAGCCCAGGGUUUCUCUGGAAGAGUCGGCAGACUUUACCCGGAUGCAGCUCUAUUAAAAUGUCUGUCUUCUCAGGCAUAACUUAAAAGU